CUCUAACCUACCCCAACUUGUUUGGGACUAAAGGCUUUGUUAUUGUUGUUGUUGUUGUUGUUGUUGUUGUUGUUGUUGUUGUUAUUGUUGUUGUUGCCAUUCUACAGAAAGAACAAUCAUUCGAGCUAACCAUGAUGUGAGAGCGACAAGCAGUCGUAAACCAUUGCACAUCAGCAACAAAAGAGAGAAACACCACUAUGCUAAGAAGCGAAAGGUUCAGUCCGACAGGACUUUGACACGGGGUAACAUGCCCAUCUCCUUUUCUCAUGGUUAACGAUGUUUUUUCCUAACCAUGGGCUAAAAAUCAUAUGCUACCGUGCAGGACCACAUCCCAUUGGUUAUGACAGUUAGACCCAUUAGUCACAAUCUGUUCAGAAAGCAACAUCUAUAAAGAUAUUAUGUACUGGUGAUUUGAUCCAUUGUGCCACUCAUACUUCACCUAUUUGGAUCAUUUAGCUCGAGCAAUUUGCAUAAUCUUAUUCUUACAAUAACUGUAGAGUAUUCAUAUAUACAUAUAAAGUUAGUCAUGAUCCGCUUCUUGUAUGUUAUGUAGGUCCGACAUAUUCUAAACUUAAAAUAUGAAUGGGCAGUAUGAAUGACCUUUAGCGAACUAUUUCCCGUAAACUAAACAAAAGCUUGCCAUCUUUAGUAAUCAUGCAUAUACAUGUGCAUUAGUUUUUAUCAAAUAUUGUAGUAUGGUAUUAAUUUGGUUGGACUGGUCAACUGUGCUAGCAAUUCUUGCUGCAAUAUUCAUUCUAUAGUAUGUACUAGCUCUUAGACAAGAUAAUUGUUUAGCCCCUGGUUUCUUAGCUACUGGUUGGUCCUGUAAAGCUACAUCCUUGCUUUCUGAUAGUGUUAUUUGAAUCUAUAGCAGUGGGUAUGAAGAUCCGCUAAUUUGAGUUUUUUUUCUGCCUUUAUUUAUCGUGCGAUGGCCACUGUCGGAGCUUUCACCCUUCACCGCCCCCUGUGGCCCAGCGAUUUGCGGCGGCUGCGGGGUCUUCCCCUGAUUUGGUGGUGGCGGGCAGGCGACAAAUAGCCCACAAACCUUUAGUUUUCCACCCUGGUUUCUUACCAGGCCAGACUGUGAACAAGUACUAUAGAGAGGAUAUCUCUAAAUCAAGUGGCCCGUGCACUAGAGAAAACCGCAGGUUUGUAUCCUGGUUAGACCGUGUAUAAUUGUAGCUGACACAGAGAUUAUACUGAAUUAGUCUGUGGAUGGAGACUUUGGGAUCAUAAUAUCUAACGAAAAAGUGCGAAAAAGAGUUAUAUCAGAGGUAUCUGUGGUGCUCACAGUGGUCGCCCAGAUCCCGAUGGAGAUGGUAGUCCCUGUUCAGGGCACGGAAUUGAUGCCGUCGACCCCGCCAUUUCCACUCCACCCCGAGGUAUCCGGAUCCUUACUUCAUGGGCUUCUUUACUUCAGACGAAAGGAUCCAUGCUAUAUGAAUAAACUGCUUUAAUUCAUGUUCUUUAGAAGUAUAUGCAAUCUUGGACUGGAUGCCAAAAUUUUCUUUUAUGUCAUCCUUUAACUGACUGCAAAUCAAUUUUCCGUUAUACCAAUGCUUCCUGAUAUGUUUGUGCUUUUCAGAUUCAUGUUCUUUAGUUAAAGUAUAGUAGCUACUAGCUACUGUAUAUGCAACACCGCAUUUUGAAUCAUCCAAUAAAAGUUACAUUCAUGUCCAGACUGUUUUAGAUAGUGGAUUGUAACAUUUGCAAACCCCUAAUGUAUACGAGGAAGUGUUUGUUCAUUAGUAUGGUAACAUGUGUUGUAGUGGCAAGGACCCUCCAGUGAGAUCAUCCAGUCUUGCAACAUGAAAUAUUUUCUCAUAAUUUUGAAAUUACAAAAUGUACUUAAUUGCAGAUGAUGUGCCUUAUGGAAGAACCGAGCACUCAUAUUUUGCACUUAGAAUUAGAACUAUACUUUGGUUGGUUUGAUUUAGUAAUAUUGCUUGAGGCAGCCUUUUGAAAAUAUAUGUAAGAAAACCCGAGUACUCAUUCAAAGUGUUUUUGUAUUAACAUUCAUAAUAUAUGUAGCUCUGCUACGUGUUGGUGGGUUUAGUUUUUAAUACCAUAGCUGAUGUUUUCUUUAUAUAGUAAGAUGGAACUAAACAUAUCCAAAGUAACAUUUAUAAUUACUCAACUCUGACAAGCUUCAACAACUUUAACUUUAUAAUACUCCCUCCGUCCCAAAAUCAAUAACUCUGCAAUUAACAUGGCAGGAACUUAGAAAGGAAAGGUCCUGGAAUGCAUCAAUAUAGGACUCGUUGUCCUUCUUUCUAGGAAGAAUAUUGGAGUCGUUCAAGUUUUAACUCAUAGAUAGAUGGCAUUUUAACCUUCGUUUCUAAAUAGUUUAGCUUGGAGCAAGUUGUGAUAGCGUGGCAUAGUUAGCAUCUAACCUUUUCACUCUUCCUAGCAAACCGUUGUUUGGCUAAGUUGCUGCUUUUUCUCAGCC